GACGAACGCUGGCGGCGUGCUUAACACAUGAAAGUCGAACGGUAAGGCCGUUCGGGGUGCACGAGUGGCGAACGGGUGAGUAACAAGUGGGUGAUCUGCCCUGCACUUCGGGAUAAGCCGGGGAAACUGGGUCUAAUACCGGAGAGGACCUAUGCCGGUAGGGGUGGUGGUGGCAAGAUUGUGAGGUGGGGGCGGGGCCCGCGGCCUAUCAGUUUGUUGGUGGGGUGAUGGCCGACGAAGGCGACGACGGGUAGCCGGCCUGAGAGGGUGACCGGCCACACUGGGACUGAGAUAAGGCCCAGACUCCUACGGGAGGCAGCAGGGGGGAAUAUGGCACAAUGGGCGCAAGCCUGAUGCAGCGACGUCGCGUGAGGGAUGACGGCCUUCGGGUUGUAAACCUCUUUCAGCACCGACGAAGCGCAAGUGACGGUAGGUGCAGAAGAAGGACCGGCCAACUACGUGCCAGCCGCCGCCGUAA
rnacentral:rRNA from 1 species